AGUGGCGGACGGGUGAGUAACGCGUGAGAAUCUGGCUUCAGGUUCGGGAUAACAGUUGGAAACGACUGCUAAUACCGGAUAAGCCCGUGGGUAAAAGAUUAAUUGCCUGAAGAUGAGCUCGCGUCCGAUUAGCUAGUUGGUGUGGUAAAGGCGCACCAAGGCGGCGAUCGGUAGCUGGUCUGAGAGGACGAUCAGCCACACUGGGACUGAGACACGGCCCAGACUCCUACGGGAGGCAGCAGUGGGGAAUUUUCCGCAAUGGGCGAAAGCCUGACGGAGCAAUACCGCGUGAGGGAGGAAGGCUCUUGGGUUGUAAACCUCUUUUCUCAAGGAAUAAUUAUGAAGGUACUUGAGGAAUCAGCAUCGGCUAACUCCGUGCCAGCAGCCGCGGUAAUACGGAGGAUGCAAGCGUUAUCCGGAAUGAUUGGGCGUAAAGCGUUCGUAGGUGGCUCAUCAAGUCGGCUGUUAAAGAGUCUGGCUUAACCAGAUAAGGGCAGUGGAAACUGAAGAGCUAGAGUAUGGUAGGGGUAGAGGGAAUUCCUGGUGUAGCGGUGAAAUGCGUAGAGAUCAGGAAGAACACCGGUGGCGAAAGCGCUCUGCUGGACCAUAACUGACACUGAGGGACGAAAGCUAGGGGAGCGAAUGGGAUUAGAUACCCCAGUAGUCCUAGCCGUAAACGAUGGAUACUAGGCGUUG
rnacentral:rRNA from 1 species